UAAAUGCCUGGAAAUUGGUUUAUUGUUAAAAAUGAUUCGUCGCCAUAGGAUGGGACUGCGGCCUAUCAGCUUGUUGGUGAGGUAAUGGCCCACCAAGGCGAUUACAGGUACGGGCUCUGAGAGGAGAAGCCCGGAGAUGGGUACUGAGACAAGGACCCAGGCCCUAUGGGGCGCAGCAGGCGAGAAAACUUUGCAAUGUGCGAGAGCACGACAAGGUUAGUCCGAGUGAUUUCUGCUAAAGAGAUCUUUUGCUAGUUAUAAAACCACUAGUGAAUAAGGGGUGGGCAAGUUCUGGUGUCAGCCGCCGCGGUAAAACCAGCACCUCAAGUGGUCAGGAUGAUUAUUGGGCCUAAAGCAUCCGUAGCCGGCUCUGUAAGUUUUCGGUUAAAUCUAUGCGCUCAACGUAUGGGCUGCCGAAAAUACUGUAGAGAUAGGGAGUGGGAGAGGUAGACGGUACUCGGUAGGAAGGGGUAAAAUCCUUUGAUCUAUCGAUGACCACCUGUGGCGAAGGCGGUCUACCAGAACACGUUCGACGGUGAGGGAUGAAAGCUGGGGGAGCAAACCGGAUUAGAUACCCGGGUAGUCCCAGCUGUAAACGAUGCAGACUCGAUGAUGCAUUGGCAUAUAGCCAGUGCAGUGUCGCAGGGAAGCCGUUAAGUCUGCCGCCUGGGAAGUACGUACGCAAGUAUGAAACUUAAAGGAAUUGGCGGGGGAGCACCACAAGGGGUGAAGCCUGCGGUUCAAUUGGAUUCAACGCCGGG
rnacentral:rRNA from 2 species